GACGAACGCUGGCGGCGUGCUUAACACAUGCAAGUCGAACGGAAAGGUCCUGCUUUUGUGCGGUGCUCGAGUGGCGAACGGGUGAGUAACACGUGAGUAACCUGUCCUUGACUUUGGGAUAACUUCAUGAAACUGGGGCUAAUACCGGAUAGGAGCUCCUGCUGCAUGGUGGGGGUUGGAAAGUUUAGGCGGUUGGGGAUGGACUCGCGGCUUAUCAGCUUGUUGGUGGGGUAGUGGCUUACCAAGGCUUUGACGGGUAGCCGGCCUGGGAGGGUGAGCGGCCACAUUGGGACUGGGCUGCGGCCCAGACUCCUACGGGAGGCAGCAGUGGGGAAUAUUGCACAGUGGGCGGGAGCCUGAUGCAGCAACGCCGCGUGCGGGAUGACGGCCUUCGGGUUGUAAUCCGCUUUCGCCUGUGACGAGGCGUGAGUGACGGUAAUGGGUAAAGAAGCACCGGCUAACUACGUG
rnacentral:rRNA from 1 species